rnacentral:rRNA from 1 species
UACAGAGGUGUCAAACGUUGUCCGGAAUUACUGGGCGUAAAGGGCGCGUAGGCGGCCUUAUAAGUCAUGUGUGAAAGCUCUGGGCUCAACCCAGGAAUUGCAUGUGAUACUGUAAGGCUCGAGUUCGGUAGAGGAGGGCGGAAUUCCAGGUGUAGCGGUGAAAUGCGUAGAUAUCUGGAGGAACACCCGUGGCGAAGGCGGCUCUCUGGUCCGAGACUGACGCUGAGGUGCGAAAGCUAGGGUAGCAAACAGG